rnacentral:rRNA from 1 species
CAGUAGCCGCGGUAAAACGUAGGUGGCAAGCGUUGUCCGGAAUUAUUGGGCGUAAAGGGCUCGCAGGCGGUUUCUUAAGUCUGAUGUGAAAGCCCCCGGCUCAACCGGGGAGGGUCAUUGGAAACUGGGAAACUUGAGUGCAGAAGAGGAGAGUGGAAUUCCACGUGUAGCGGUGAAAUGCGUAGAGAUGUGGAGGAACACCAGUGGCGAAGGCGACUCUCUGGUCUGUAACUGACGCUGAGGAGCGAAAGCGUGGGGAGCGAACAGGAUUAGAGACCCCAGUAGUCCCUGUCUCUUAUAC